AGUGAACGCUGGCGGUAGGCCUAACACAUGCAAGUCGAACGGCAGCACAGUAAGAGCUUGCUCUUACGGGUGGCGAGUGGCGGACGGGUGAGGAAUACAUCGGAAUCUACUUUUUCGUGGGGGAUAACGUAGGGAAACUUACGCUAAUACCGCAUACGACCUACGGGUGAAAGCAGGGGAUCUUCGGACCUUGCGCGAUUGAAUGAGCCGAUGUCGGAUUAGCUAGUUGGCGGGGUAAAGGCCCACCAAGGCGACGAUCCGUAGCUGGUCUGAGAGGAUGAUCAGCCACACUGGAACUGAGACACGGUCCAGACUCCUACGGGAGGCAGCAGUGGGGUAUAUUGGACAAUGGGCGCAAGCCUGAUCCAGCCAUACCGCGUGGGUGAAGAAGGCCUUCGGGUUGUAAAGCCCUUUUGUUGGGAAAGAAAAGCAGCAGGUUAAUACCCCGCUGUUCUGACGGUACCCAAAGAAUAAGCACCGGCUAACUUCGU
rnacentral:rRNA from 1 species